rnacentral:rRNA from 1 species
GAGUUUGAUCAUGGCUCAGAUUGAACGCUGGCGGCAUGCCUUACACAUGCAAGUCGAGCGGCAGCGCGGGGGCAACCCUGGCGGCGAGCGGCGAACGGGUGAGUAAUACAUCGGAACGUGUCCUGUCGUGGGGGAUAACCAGUCGAAAGAUUGGCUAAUACCGCAUGACCUCGUAAGAGAAAAGCGGGGGACCGUAAGGCCUCGCGCGACUGGAGCGGCCGAUGUCGGAUUAGCUAGUUGGCGGGGUAAAAGCCCACCAAGGCGACGAUCCGUAGCUGGUUUGAGAGAACGACCAGCCACACUGGGACUGAGACACGGCCCAGACUCCUACGGGAGGCAGCAGUGGGGAAUUUUGGACAAUGGGGGCAACCCUGAUCCAGCCAUGCCGCGUGUGUGAAGAAGGCCUUCGGUUGUAAG